CAAAGAAUUUGAGAGUCUUUUAAACAUCGCACGUUGGUCGUGAUACACAGACUCGUCAAUCUAUACGUAGAAAAUGUGAGAGAAAUCUUAAGAAAAUGUCCUGGGGCGAAUGAAAAGUUGGGAAAAAUAUUCCUUGCCAAGUUCAUCUUGAAGCUAAAAAAAAUUAUCACAGACAACAAUGGACGAUAUGUCUUGAAAUCUUCAAUCAAGUUUUCAAACACUUCACGAAACACCUGUAUCAAGAGCAUAGCUUUUGAGGUGAGGGAUAGCAUGUAGAAAAAUGGAAAGAAGGUGACAAAAGGGAUAGAAGGUGGCAUCAGAUAAGUAUAUAAAAGAUGAUAAAGAGGAUGGAAGGUGGCAAAUGUGAUAGAAGAUGCAAAAGGGAAUGGAU